rnacentral:lncRNA from 1 species
CAUUUUCUUAUAACUCCAGUUCGACGACACAGACAGAAGUCUUAUUGCUGAUAGGAAGGUACAUCUAUCCUUUCUGAUGGCUUUUAUUAUUUGAUACUUUCAAUCCAUUUCGAUGAUGAACUAAAUUUAAUCAUUUUUGUUUAAGUGUGUCAUAAUAUUGUUCGUUGAGGACCCCAGAAAUGGAAUCAAUGACGGAAGGAGGAACAAAAGAAGAAACAACAGAGAAGAAAAGACAAGGAAACGAGCAAGGAACCCCACCAUUUUCCCUAUCUGCAAAUCCCAUUUUAAUGUGGGGAAGGAGUCUGCAGUUGUGGAAAAUGCUUAAUAGUUUGACCAGAUCAAAAUUCUACACAAAAUGGUUUAAUCUUCAUGGAAGAGGGUUCUUCUUUUAACAUGCAAAUAGCUAACUCCCUGCAUAUAAAUAAUCAUUUGAAAAUAUUUAUGCAGCAACUCAUUGAUAAAGGUGACCAAGGUGAGGCUGGA